rnacentral:tRNA from 1 species
AAACUUAUAGUUCAGGGGUUAGAAUAAAUUGCUCAUAACAUUUAGAGGUAGGUUCAAAUCCUACUAAGUUUA